AGGACGAACGCUGGCGGCGUGCUUAACACAUGCAAGUCGAGCGGAAAGGCCCUUCGGGGUACUCGAGCGGCGAACGGGUGAGUAACACGUGAGUAACCUGCCCCAGACUUUGGGAUAACCCUCGGAAACGGGGGCUAAUACCGAAUAUGACUUUGACCCGCAUGGGUUUUUGUGGAAAGUUUUUCGGUUUGGGAUGGACUCGCGGCCUAUCAGCUUGUUGGUGAGGUAAUGGCUCACCAAGGCGAGGACGGGUAGCC
rnacentral:rRNA from 1 species